rnacentral:rRNA from 1 species
AACAAACGCUGGCGGCGUGCAUAACACAUGCAAGUCUAACGGGAAAGUCGGCUUCGGCUGGCAAGUACCGUGGCGAACGGGUGAGUAACACGUGGGUAAUCUAACCUCGAGUUUGGGAUAACCCUGCGAAAGCGGGGCUAAUACCGAAUAAGACCACGCUUGGUUCGCCAAGUGCGGUAAAAGGCGGCCUCUUCUUGAAAGCUGUCACUUGAGGAUGAGCCCGCGGCCUAUUAGCUAGUUGGUGGGGUAAUGGCCUACCAAGGCGACGAUGGGUAGCCGGCCUGGGAGGGUGUACGGCCACACUGGCACUGAGAUACGGGCCAGACUCCUACGGGAGGCAGCAGUGGGGAAUUUUGCGCAAUGGGGGGAACCCUGACGCAGCAACGCCGCGUGAGUGAUGAAGGCCUUCGGGUCGUAAAGCUCUUUUAGUGGGGAAGAAUCCCACCCGGGCUAAUACCUCGGGUGUCUGACGGUACCCACAGAAAAAGUUCCGGCUAACUACGUGCCAGCCGCCGCCGUAAAAC